rnacentral:rRNA from 1 species
GAUGAACGCUAGCGAUAGGCUUAACACAUGCAAGUCGAGGGGCAGCAUGGUCUUAGCUUGCUAAGACUGAUGGCGACCGGCGCACGGGUGCGUAACGCGUAUGCAACUUGCCUCACAGAGGGGGAUAACCCGUCGAAAGACGGACUAAUACCGCGUACACUUGGGAUAGGGCAUCCUGACCCAAGGAAAUGAAAUUCGCUGUGAGAUAGGCAUGCGUCCCAUUAGCUAGUUGGUGAGGUAACGGCUCACCAAGGCGACGAUGGGUAGGGGAACUGAGAGGUUGAACCCCCACACUGGUACUGGGACACGGACCAGACUCCUACGGGAGGCAGCAGUGAGGAAUAUUGGUCAAUGGGCGAGAGCCUGAACCAGCCAAGUCGCGUGAAGGAUGACUGUCUUAUGGAUUGUAAACUUCUUUUAUACGGGAAUAACAAGAGUCACGUGUGGCUCCCUGCAUGUACCGGAUGAAUAAGCAUCGGCUAACUCCGUG